UUCAUGGCGAGUUUGAUCCUGGCUCAGAGCGAACGCUGGCGGCGUACUUAACACAUGCAAGUCGAACGAGGAUCACGGUGUGAGCAAUCAUAUUGUGGUCCGAGUGGCGCACGGGUGAAUAACACGUGGGUAACCUGCCCUUGAGCCUGGGAUACCCCCUCGAAAGGGGGGCUAAUACCGGAUACGUUCCUUGGGUCGACAGAUCCGGGGAGGAAAGGUGGCGCAAGCUGCCGCUCUUGGAGGGGCUCGCGGCCUAUCAGCUAGUUGGCGGGGUAACGGCCCACCAAGGCUUUGACGGGUAGCUGGUCUGAGAGGACGACCAGCCACACGGGGACUGAGACACGGCCCCGACUCCUACGGGAGGCAGCAGUGGGGAAUUUUCCGCAAUGGGCGAAAGCCUGACGGAGUGACGCCGCGUGUGGGACGAAGGCCUUCGGGUCGUAAACCACUGUCAGUGGGAAAGAUGGGUGUCGGCGUGAUAACCGCCGGCAUUUGACGGUACCUGCAGAGGAAGCCCCGGCCAACUCUGUGCCAGCAGCCGCGGUAAGACAGAGGGGGCAAGCGUUGCUCGGAAUUACUGGGCGUAAAGGGCGCGUAGGCGGGAUGGCAAGUCGGUCGUGAAAUCCUUCGGCUCAACCGAAGAAGGGCGAUCGAUACUGCUGUUCUUGAGGAUUGCAGAGGAGACUGGAAUUCCCGGUGUAGCGGUGAAAUGUGUAGAGAUCGGGAGGAACACCGGUGGCGAAGGCGGGUCUCUGGGCAAUUCCUGACGCUGAGGCGCGAAAGCGUGGGGAGCAAACGGGAUUAGAUACCCCGGUAGUCCACGCUGUAAACGAUGACGACUAGGUGUGGGGGGGUUCAGUCCCUUCCGUGCCGCAGCUAACGCAUUAAGUCGUCCGCCUGGGGAGUACGGCCGCAAGGUUGAAACUCAAAGGAAUUGACGGGGGCCCGC
rnacentral:ncRNA from 1 species